rnacentral:lncRNA from 1 species
CACCAUUGCUUCUUCAUAAUUUGCAGGUUCAUUGUUGUCCAACAACAUGAUUGAUAAGACGGGAUUACCGUACCACUCUGGAGCAGCACGUGGUCUCGUCGACCUGCGUGGUUCGAUAGAAACUGGAACCGGAGUUUCAUGAUCAUCAUCAUUAACUUCCUCCUCAACCGGCGCCGCAACGACAGAGGUUUCCCCUUGCCCUGAGCCACCAUCCAGAGGGAUGAGAGGUUCGACAACCUCGUCAAGUUCUGUCUUCCUCCCACUCAA